rnacentral:rRNA from 1 species
UCUAAGCGUGAAGCCCACCUCAAGAAUAAGUGUCCCAUUCGAAAGAAGUAAGACCCCUGGAAGACUACCAGGUGAUAGGUCAUCGGUGAAAGAGUGGUAACAUUUGAAGCUUGGUGAUACUAAUCGGUCGAGGACUUGAUCUA